rnacentral:misc_RNA from 1 species
GAUGAAGAACGCAGCGAAAUGCGAUAAGUAAUGUGAAUUGCAGAAUUCAGUGAAUCAUCGAAUCUUUGAACGCACAUUGCGCCCCUUGGUAUUCCGAGGGGCAUGCCUGUUCAAGCGUCAUUAUAACCCCUCAAGCUCAGCUUGGUGUUGGGGCCUGCUGCACUGGCAGCCCUUAAAAUCAGUGGCGGCGCCAUCUGGCUCUAAGCGUAGUAAUUCUUCUCGCUAUGGAGUCCUGGUGGAUGCUUGCCAUCAACCCCCAAUUUUUCUAUGGUUGACCUCGGAUCAGGUAGGGAUACCCGCUGAACUUAAGCAUAUCAAUAAGCGGAGGA